rnacentral:misc_RNA from 1 species
UUAAGUGGUAUUUGCAUCGUAGUUGAGACUUCAGUAAGCAAAGAAAAAAAAAAAAGAUUCGUUUCUCAAUUUAAACUCUGUGACACGAUAAAGAAAUCGUGUGGCUGAAACAAGGAAUCUUUGUUCUAGAAAUGACCGGCUGGCCAUUUAUCUUAAUUACAAUAGUCUUAAUGAAGACGAAAGAUUCUCGUGCGAUCAACGCCGAGGUUCCUUUCGAUAAUUUAAGUCCACGUUACAAUGAGUCUAUGGAAAUCGAGAAACGUCUCCCGGAAGAUGUAAUUCCCAAGAAAUAUGUGAUUACGAUUUCGCCUGAUUUUAAUAAAAAUGAAUUUCACGGUAACGUUCGUAUAGAUCUCGAAUUAUUAAAUAAUCGAAGUCACAUCGUUUUACACUCGAAGGAUUUAACCAUAUCGUCGACUAAAUUGUACAUAGAAAAACCGGAGACAGAAAUUCAAAUAGAAUCUAUCGUUAAGUUAAUGAAACGCGAAAUGUUGGUGAUCAACACUUAUAGAAAUAUCUCUGAGGGACGAUACUUUUUGAAAAUGGAUUUCACCGGUAAUCUGACCCAAAAAAUGACCGGAUUUUACUUGAGCACUUAUUUUGAUAAAUCAAUUAGAAAAUUAGCGGUGUCGCAAUUCGAGCCACUUUACGCCAGAACUGCGUUCCCUUGCUUCGACGAGCCAAAUUUCAAAGCGAUUUUCGUUAUUAAUAUCAUUUUUAAGAAAAUGUUUUUGUAUCAUGCACAAUCGAACAUGCCUCUUAAGAAAGUAGAGGCGGUGAAAGGCGAGGAAGACAAAGCAAUCGCACACUUCGAUCCUACGCCACCAAUGUCCACUUAUCUCGUUGGCUUUCUCGUGAGUGACUUCGAUUGUAUAGGAACCCAUAUGGAUCUCUUAAAUGGAAAUGAAAUACCAAUAACUGUUUGCGUGAGGCCUAUGUUCAAGCACAAAGUGGGAUACGCCUUGAACACCACAGUUAGAACGAUGAAGUAUCUCCUACACACGUUUCAGAUCGAUUAUCCCCUACCAAAGCUUGAUCUCGUCGCCAUACCCGAUUUCACGGCCGGCGCGAUGGAGAAUUGGGGUUUGGUCACGUUCCGUGAAACAGAGCUGCUUCACAGCGAAAACAGCUCUUGCGUCAAUACGAAAAGCGUAAGCUUGACGAUCGCUCACGAAUUGGCCCAUAUGUGGUUCGGCAAUCUGGUCACCAUGAAAUGGUGGGACGAUCUUUGGUUGAACGAAGGAUUCGCCACUUACAUGGAGCAUCUGACGAUCAAUUCUUUGUUCCCCGAUUGGAAUCUGAUGGAUUCCUUUCCUUUAUACACUAAAUACGUCUCUAUGAAACACGAUGUGAAACUGCGUGCUCGUCCUGUCGUGAAACGGAUCGAGGAUCCGGAAGAGAUAGAAGAGAUAUUCGAUCCGGUGACUUAUCAAAAGGCUGCGUCGGUGAUUAGGAUGCUCGAGGACGCUAUUGGCAAUGCCAGCUUGUUUUCUACUAUCAGACAGUAUCUGAAAACCUAUCAGUUUCGUAAUGCGGAUUCUCGAGAAUUCUUCGAUAUCCUGGCGAACAAUACGCGCUCCGCCAUCGAUAUCGUAGAUUUCGUCUCUCGAUGGAUGAGAUUCCCCGGAUUUCCGGUGGUCAACGUCCGCCGAAACAAAGCGGAUUUUCAACUGCUUCGACGACGCUUCGUGACGAGCAGACGACUCAAUGAAACGAUCGAUACAGGCUGGACCAUUCCCAUUAAAUACGUGACGAGCAGACAAAGAAAUAAAAUCAAACUGGAUUGGUUUCUUGCUAAUUAUUCUUGCGUGGAAUUAUCGGUGGGAAGAUCGGUGGAUUGGAUCAAAAUGAAUCACAAUUCGAUCGGUUAUUACAUUGUGAAUUACACGGAAGAUGCUUGGAACACGUUCAGCAAAUUACUAUCAACCAAUCAUUUAGCUUUGAAUGCCAUAAACAGGGCGGACUUGUUGCACGACGCUUUUCUUUUAGCGGAAACUGAUUUGAGCUACUUUAUAAUCAUGAACCUAACUUCUUAUCUAGUGAAGGAAAACGCUUAUCAGCCGUGGGUCGUUACUGUGGAAUGGUUCAACCAGAUGAACAGAUUGCUUUCAGGGACACCUCUGCUUAAACGUUUCCAAUCAUACGCGAAGAAUCUAAUCGACAAUGUUUAUCGCAAAAUCAAGUGGAAUUUUCAUUUAAAGGAUUCGUUUAAAGAAAGCUUGCAGCGUGGGCCACGAGGACUGCCUCGAGAGAGCCGGAAAAUGGUUGAAGAAUUUCCUGCAGAACGUCAAGCACGAACCGGUGCCGGUCGAUAUUCGGUCUAUCGUUUAUUCGUACGGCCUGUUUACGCGCGACGUUGGAUCGAUAUACAAGAAUAUGUCGCAACGACUGAAGAUGGAGCAAGAUGUACAGGAAAAGGAACGUAUGAUGAUCGGAUUGACUGGAUGUCUGGACAAAGAUAUUCUUAAACGAUAUCUCACGCAAGCAUUGGACGAGAAAUUCAUUCGUAAGCAAGAUUUUGCCACGUUGCUGAUCAAGAUUGCCUUGAAUCCUGUGGGAGUGGACGUUGCCUGGAAUUUCGUAAAGGAAAACUGGAUAAAGCUACGCGAAAAAUACAAAACGAACGACUACAUUUUAGGAAAGCUUAUCUGCGGGAUCUUAUCUUUGUUCAAGGAUCGUCAAAAGUUACAGGAGGCAAGAAAAUUCUUUUUGAAAAAUAAUGAUUUAAAAAUAACCAUGAGCAUGAAGAGAAACACUAUCGAAGAUAUAGAAAACAAUAUCGAUUGGAUGGAUACAAAUAUGCAAAUGAUCGAACAAUGGCUGCACUCUCGUGGAUUCAAUUA